GCUCCGACCUUUGCACCAUCGUCCGUUGUGCGGCUGCCUGUAAGCACCUUCGUCCGUUGUGCGGCUGCCUGUAAGCACCUUCGUCGUGACAUCCUAAGCCCACCUUUCAUCCAUCAAAUCGGCAAGCUAGCGGCUCCCUGCAUCCUCGCCGAUAUCUGCACCUAUGCCAAGGAACUCCUCUCCCUAGUUCACCCGGCUACAACUGUCGCCGCGUCCUUCUGCCACAACCAACUCUCGCCUUCUACAGGCCGUAAUGCUGAUACAGACUUCCUCCUCCCAGGCAGCCUCGUUACAUCACGACGUGGCCUCGUCGUCCUCCGCUGCCUCCGCAUCCAGUCCGAGCGAUCCUGUCAGCUAUGCGUGUACGACCCCAUGACCGGCCGUCGCAGCUUCCUCUCCAGGCCAAGGGGGAACCAUUACUCGGUCCGGGUAUAUGUCCUGCUCACCGCCGCUGAUGGCAUCGACGACACAUUCAUGCUGCUCGUUGCUGAUCUCGGCACACAUAGCAUUCAAGUACAGACUACAACAUCUUCCUCUCGGGGUACGUGGGAAGAUGUCUUUCAUAUGAGCCACCUUGAUUUUCGAUGGUCGUGGGUAAAUACUCGUAACAACCCUGCUGUCCUUCACGGCGGCGUGAUUCAUUGGCUAUCAUCUGAGAGCAACCAAAUCCUCACCUACAACGCGGUCAAGAGGACGACAGGACUGAUGAAGCUCCCACCCACCAAACGCAACGCAAACCCACUAUAUUUGGCAACAUCAUCGGAUGGGAACCUACUAAAGCUGCUUUCUAUAGAUGGGUUCAUGAUAUCUAUGUGGUUGCAGCUCUCUAUUGACCCGGCAGGUGGUGGUUGGGCUCUGGCAACUGUGAUCGACAUAGAGGAUAAGCUACAGUCGCUGUACCCAGACAUCAGCGCCGAUGUACUAGUUGAGUUUAAGGAAUCUGGGAGUGGGAACAGGAGUGGUGACGUGGUUUUGCUAAUGCUAUCUAUUGGAAUUGGAAGGUGUGUAGUGCUUGAUUUGGAGACGAAGGAGAUGCAUAAGCAAGAUAGGGCCCCCUUAUUGUUGGAGAUCGAUCUACAAUCUCACCUACAAACAAUGAAAGUUUUU
rnacentral:rRNA from 1 species